UCAUGGAACAGGGGGGGAGUAGGGGAAAAAAAGGUCAUUUGCUGUAUUCUGGUACUUCAAACUGGAUGUUUUAGACAGAGGCUGUUUUAAUGGAGAGAACAGCUGUAGGGGAGUCAGUUCUCUCUGCAUUUGUACCCACACCGCAUGUUUUGUCGGUAGCACAGAACUCUCCAAUGGUCCCCCGCAUCUGCCCCAUUCUUUUGCUUUUCUUUGGUUUAUUUCCCCCCUUUAGCGUCGUUCUCGGCGUGCUUUCUAAAUGAGACCUCAACCCGCCCACCCAAAGGAAACCGCAGCAUCUCAGGAUUUCACACCGAAGCCAGGCAGCCCCGCCUGCCUGUCGUAUCAGCAGAGGGAUGGAACUGAAGGCUCGGGGCGUUGGGCUGCCCGUGCAUCGCACCGCAGAGCCGCGGGCAUCCUAAAGGCAGCCCGGAGAAAAUCAGCAUGCGAAAACACCUUUUAAAAGGGCUUCAGCGAGGUUACAGACGGCAGAAAACAGCCUUUCUCCAUCCAUGCCCCUCAACCAGCAUUUACACGAGCGAUUUAUUUGCUGCUGUUUAAUUACCCGGCACUUAGGGCUGCCGAGGAUGCGGACGGAACCCGGACGGAACCCAAACGCAGCCGCAGCAGCGCGCAGCAGCUCUGCGCUGGGCGGGCCGGCACGUCACGUGACACAGCACUCCCGCGCCGCCAUUUGCACCAGAGCCGCGCACGCAGGCGCAGUGCUGCCUUCCGGCGGUGCAGCGCUUUUUCCCGCCCUUUCUGUCCCUCAGCGGCCGCGCGCUGCAGUCCGCCUUCUGUCCCUUAUCGCUCCGGGCGGCGCCAUGGGGGGGGAGGCGGCGCGCCCGCCGCUGAAGGUGCUGGCCGCACAGCUGCGGGGCGCGGUGCGCGGCGCCGGCGGGACGUGGCGGCUCGGCCGGGCGGAGGCGGGCCGGGCGCCGCUGUGCCUGCGGGCCGUGUGGAUGCAGGGCACCGUGCUGCGGGUGGAGCGCGGCGGCGGCGGCGGCGGCUCGGCACGGCUGCGGGACGGCAGCGGCCCCUUCACCGUGCUGGGGGUGGAGGACGUGCCCCGGGGCCGGCCGUGCCUCAGCGCAGGGAAGUACGUGAUGGUGAUGGGAGUGGUGCGGUCCUGCAGCCCCGAGCCCGUGCUCCGAGCAAUAAAGAUGACGGAUCUUUCCGAAAACCCGGUGCAUGAGGAGAUGUGGAGCCUGGAGGUGGAGGAGCUGCACAGAGUCAUCCCCUGAACUCUUCUGCCUAGAAGACUUGAAGUGAAUACAUUUCAUGGUUUGGUUACUGACUUCUGAGAAGGGAUUCUAAAGACACGCAAGGAGAAUAUGAAACUGGGCUGGUAUUUACUGUUCAAGAAGGUCUCAUGCUGAAAUGGAGAUAAAAUCCAGCUAAGUUUUGGGAGAUUCCUAGAAGCAGCCAUCCAGCAAGAAGAAUGCACAUCAUUCUAGAGGACCUUCUCCUAAAAAUGAGGAACAAAGAACCAGGAAAAGAAAACAAUCCAGAAAAAAGAGAGCAUGAACCAGAACAGUAAUGGAGAAAGAUUGAAGAGGGGAAAAAAGUAGAAAAUCUAAGAAAGCCAAAAAGAAAAAGAAGCCUGAAGAUAAACAUCAAAUGUACUACGAAUGCAAACUACCAAUCAAAACUAUCAACUCACUAUAAAGAGAGCCAACAAGGACAAGACUUGGUGUACUAAAAAAGCUCUCCAUCAAAUCCAGGCUUUAACCAUUGAAACCAACCACUCAAUGUUAUCAGAAUCAGUGACUUCAUUAUUCUUUUCUUGUAUCAGUAAUUCUCUUUCAUGGCAUUGCAGGGUUUUUAGGUCUUCAAACAAAUGUAAUCUUAAUUGAAUAAGAAAUAAAAAUUAAUGGCCACUUUGA